AAGUUCCGACCCGCAUGAAAGGCUUAACGACUUGGGCGCUCUCUUAACCAUUGACCCGGCGAAAUUGCGGUAUCCGUGAAGACGCGGAUUGCACGCCGCAGGACGAAAAGACCCUAUGGAGCUUUACUGUAACUUGACAUUGGCAACUGUUUUAGACUGUGUAGAAUAGGUGGGAGUCCGCCAACUGGCGGACGCCAGUGAAAUACCACCCUUUCUGAGAUGGAAGCCUUACCCCGGCGNNNNNNNNNNNNNNNNNNNNNNNNNNCGAGCAGAUGCGAAAGCAGGGCUUAGUGAUCCUCUAGAGCUUAGUGGUAGGCUCAGAGCUUAAUGGAUAAAAGUUACCCUAGGGAUAAAUUCUGAAAAAAGAAUUUUGUUGUCCCUCUUCUGAGUAAUCAGAUGUUAAAAUAUGGCUAAUAACGGUGGAAACUAUAUGUGCUUGGGUUUCGGGUAGACCCUUUUAAAGUGAGCAUAUUGGCAAUACCGUGGGAAGUCGAGAAACUGUAAUGAGUAUCAAAAUAACUCCAAAACAAGAGGGUGUUGUUAUAGGCUCUAUUUUGGGGGAUGGGUAUGUUCAAAAGACUGGUAGUAAAAACGCUCGUUUAAGGUACGAGCACAGUAGCAAGCAAAAGUUGUAUCUAGUGUGGAAGGUGUCAGUGCUGGGAACGCUUUUUAAUGGCAAACCAGUUUUUGUGGAGCGUGUCCAUCCGAAAACCAAUAAAACUUAUAAAUAUGUUAGGCAUCAGUCUAACUCAACGCCGUAUCUAGGUAAAUUGAGGAAAAUUUUCUACCCGGAAGGUAGAAAAAUUAUUCCUAGCAAUUUACAAGAUUUAUUGAAACACCCAAUUUCUUUGGCGGUGUGGUUUUUUGAUGAUGGUUAUUUAUGCAAGAAACACCAAGGAUCUUAUUUGUAUUUGGGAAAAGUUUCUUCGGAAGAAGCUACUGUAGCGCAAAUUGCUAUACACCAUAACUUUGAUAUAGAUUCAAAGGUUUAUUCAAAAGGUGUUAAAGGUUAUGCGUUGUAUUUCAAUUCUGCUAAUACUAAAAAAUUGGUAGGGCUGAUUAAGGAGUUUGCAUCUUCCGAUAUGAUUUACAAGGUUUCUUUGACCCCGUAACGACUGAGCGAAAUCCAUAAUGUGGAGAGUAGCGAGAUUUGUUUGUUUCAAACAACAAAUCAUACGCCAUCUCCCGACAAAGUCGGGAUGAAGAUAUAGUCUAAUCUAGUAUAGAUUGAACAGGCUUAUCGGAUCCGAGAGUUCACAUCGACGAUCCGGUUUGGCACCUCGAUGUCGGCUCAUCGCAACCUGGGGGGGUAGCCCCUCCCAAGGGUCCGGCUGUUCGCCGGUUAAA
rnacentral:rRNA from 1 species